GAUCAUGGCUCAGAUUGAACGCUGGCGGCAGGCCUAACACAUGCAAGUCUAACGGUAACAGAAAGCAGCUUGCUGCUUUGCUGACGAGUGGCGGACGGGUGAGUAAUGUCUGGGAAACUGCCUGAUGGAGGGGGAUAACUACUGGAAACGGUAGCUAAUACCGCAUAACGUCGCAAGACCAAAGAGGGGGACCUUCGGGUCCGUCUUGCCAUCGGAUGUGCCCAGAUGGGAUUAGU
rnacentral:rRNA from 1 species